ensembl:lncRNA
AGUGGGAAGCGCAGCACCUAAAGUAGACUGCCGAAAAAAAUGUGCGGCAAAUUGAACCAAAAAUGGUCCUGGAAACAUAGGCCAACAGAAUUGUCGGUAUGGUGGAAGCAAUUCUUUGACAAGGACAGGAGAUCCUUUUGGUUCUGUAGAGCGUCAAUGUAAUGAACAGGUCGCUCUCUUUACAGUAUCUGAGGGUUACCAGUUAACUUGUACAGACCAGAACAUUUGGGGUAUUUUGGGAGUGCUAAAAAAACACACAAGGCUUACUGAGUUGCUUCACCAUCUGGGUGAACUGGGUGUAUCUGUGAAACUACAAAAACAAAUGCACCCUUUCCUUCAAGACUGACUUUUUUAAUGUACAGUUUAAUUAGUUCAUUUAUCAUUUUGGCGUAUUUACAAACCACACAUGCAAACACAUUUGAACAACCUCAAGCAUAUUGGCUCAAUGUACCAACAUCAGAAAUGACUAUCCAACGAAACACAACAAUACAGUCAUAUGUAUCUAUUCUAUCUAUAUAUUCUAUACAGCUGUGGGAAAAGCCCACAAACAAAGCAGCAGUAAGGAGUUUUGGGGUAUUAAACUAGCAAGCUAACUAUCUAAAAGGCAUGCAAAGGCCUUGCAAACAACAACAGCACAGUUGACACUGGUGUCUUUUGGAGAAAUAGUUGGCAACACUGUUCUGUCAAAAGAUUCCUUUUUUUCCAUUUUCACAGGGUUUCUGAGCCAGAUUACAGAACUGCAUAGUGCAUAGCCUGGGCAGCCAGUGGGGACAGCAGGUGUGUUUAUCGGUCUUUCACAUGACCAGAUGCCAUCAAAAUGAAUUUGAAGAUGAUACCAACACUAGUUACCUAUAGAAGCAUAGCUCAAAUAGUGGAACAUUCAUUCAUACAGGUGUUUUAAAUAUAAUGAAAAAUUCAUAUCAACUGAACUUCAUUACAUGAAAAUAAUGGAUGCAACUACCUGAGAUAAGAGAUAAGUGUAAGCGUAUGCAAGCUGUCCAUUUUACAGUUUCUUCCCUUUCUGGAUAUUCAAUGAACUUGCUCCAGGGAAUUGGGUCGGGGUAUAGCAAGACUACAGUGAGAAACUGCAGGGAACUGGAUCAUUAUAGGGUAUAGCAAGACUAAAGAGAGAAACUAAUUAAUCUGGGGGAAUUUUAGGUUUCAGUCAGGAAGUUGUGACAGCGAGAGUUCCUUCCUCAUUUUAACUGAAACAGGACUAAUGCGGUUAUUUACGGGUUAUAAACAGGCCGGUCAUGUAAUCUUGGUCUUUAUGCAGGAACUCACACAAGAAACUGGCAGGCAGUUGAGACUAUGGACCUGAGGUUUCAUAUAUGGAGUUCUUCCUCAUGAUGCCCUCAUCUGCUGAUGGAUCUGAAGCGAGUUCUCCAUCCCCACUGAACACAGGGUCAGUCUUCUGAUUGGUCAGCUGAAUGAGUGAGUACGUUGGUUCCUGCUCUCCCUGGCCCAUCGCAUAAGGGGAACCUUCAGGAAUAAUGACAACUAUAAUAACUUGCUUCGGUGAUAGCUGAUUUUCACUGUUAAAGCCAAACAUAUUCAUUUUCAAGAAGAAUAAAAAACACUCAGUGUUAAAAACAACACUUCUGGAAACUCACAGUCGUCGUCAUCCACUUCCUCCCCGUUCUGAAAUCUAAAGGAGACAGCAGUGAGGAAGGAUAGCAUGCAACCAAGAAAGGUACACACUGCCAAUGACAACUAGAACAAUAACUGUAAAUACUAUGGUUUUAAAUAUCACUCGAGCUUAUUACAAUGGCAACAACACAUUAUAACGAUAACGGAAUGAAGAACAGUUUCUUUGGGCAUCACUUUCAUAGCGAAUGUGCGAAUGAUAAAAAACUAAUAGCCAAUCAGAAUCCAUCAAAUUUGAAAGGCAUCACAUUAAAGCAUGACAUUCUAUUUCUGAGAUGUUUUCCCUAUGGUUGGUCAGUGUGGAUGUUCAUAUCUUCAUACUUCCAGUUGUCAUUACAGUUAUUGUUGGAUUAACAGCCCUUUUGUCAUUCAUUUACAGAGACCCACCUCAAUUAAAAUGAAUAAACAACAACAACCACAACAAUCUAAAAUGUUACCUUUGAGUUAUUGCAGUUUGAGAUACUGUAAAGACAAAACAAAAUAACAACUGAAUUGUAUGUUUAUGAUAAAAGAUCUCAUCAAAAAUACUACAUGUACAUGUUUCACCUGUGGUCUCAGCUGGUUUCCUUUUAAGCAGUAUGAUGAUGAUGAUGAUGACAGGGAGGAGGAGAAGAACGGGUACUAAUACACCAAUCACAUAGAUGAGAUGGGAAUCUGCAGGUUUUGGAAAAUAAGAUUGUGAUCCAACUUUAUCGGAGUCCUCGAACAGAGGCAAAUGCAUGCUGACCCACAUCAAGCUGUGCUUACCAGUACUAUCAUAUGCGGGGGGUUCCUAAAAAAAAAAGAUAAUUUUCUAGAGACAUAAUUUGUCUUGCAUUGCAGUGCAUUUACUUGGGCUCACUAUUAUUAUUCCAUUUUAAAUGUCAAACUGAACUUACCAGCAGUGGUAUUUACGGUGGUAUUUGAUUUGUCUUCAACACACAAACAUUAUCAUGUGAAAUGCUUUAGUUUAGUUUAGUUUACUUAAGUAUAUUGUCAAGAUUUUACCGUUAAUUAUUAAGUCAAGCACGUGAGGAUAAGCAUGGAUCACAUAAGACAUGAAUGUCUGGCUUUGGAAACCAAGUCCCAAGUGUAAAUAAUGGUUGUAUGUUUUGGUUUAUAAAAUACGCCUCCAACUAACUGUUCAAGCUCAACUGUUGAAGCACAAUGUGACUAAAUAAAAUGAGAGGAAAUAAAAUUUCAAGUAAGGUUCAUAGACUUACCAGGAUUAUCCAUAAUGACUGUAGUGUUGGUUAUUACUGCCCAGUACUGCUGACUAUUUGUGUUCACCAUUAAGACACACAGAUACUGUCCACGGUCUGACUGAGUGGCAUUGCUGAUCUUUAGGUUAUGGAUGUUGUCAUCAAGGGAGAGUUUUGAUGUGUUUGAUCUCCUUAACAGAAGAUCUUUGUCGAUGGCACAGUGGUGAUCAGCACCACUAUCAUAUCCAUCGUAAUCAAAGGAAUACACACAUGUGCUGCUCUGAGCUCCAGUCUUGAUCCAGUACACCACGAAAGGAUUAUUGGAAUAAUUCCCCUUUGUUUUAAAAGCGCACGCCAGAUUAAUUGAUUCUCUUCCAGACACAAGCACUGAGUUUUCCAUUACAGGUUUAGACACAACUGUGAACAAAGUGAAAUGUUGAAGUGAAAUAUACGAAAUGACAUGUAGUUCUGCUUGCUGUUGAUAUAAAGGGUAGGCUACAUUUACACUUACUGUCUGGUUCUGCCUGAGCAACAAUGAAGGACUCCACAUGGUGAGAAGAGGGUUUGAAUGGAUGCAUGAAGCAGGAGUCAGAUGUAGCAUUAACACAGGCAAAGAAUCCCCUCAUUACACAGAUUUCACAACCGGUGGGUUUGUUCUUCUUUAUCUUUUGGCAUAGGUCCUGUUUUCAUGCAGUGCAUUUUGAGUUAUUUGCAUAAUUACUGUCUAUGAAGCUGCAGUCCACUCUGUUGUCUGAAUUCACAUCAGCCUGCCAUUGACAUGUUUCACAGGACAGUGUUAACUCCUCCCCUUUCUUUAGGUAAUGAAAGUGAGUGGACCCUUCAAGAGAAAAGAACACAGUCAUUAAUUCAUGGUUACAUUUGUAAUUCCACCCUAUACUGUUAGCACAUCUUGAACCUGGCAAUUUAAAACUACUAUUAUUCCUUACUGUCAUUUAGCAAGGAACGUUUAUCCGCAUUUAGAAUAAAUUGAACAUCAUUAGUAUAAGAAAAGUCUGCUACCGUAGCAUUGUAUCAGGAAACAGCUUAGAAGAAUCAAACUUGGUGACUCCAUCUCAGCAAAG